UAAUAUAUUAAUAAUAUUUACUCUCUCUUAAUAAAUCAUCCUAUCAAGUUGCUAUGGUGAAGGCAACCCAAAAGGACCAUGCACAACCGGGUCAAAUACUUGCCUAAUAUAGUUGCAGCCUUAGACACUAUUCCAACAGUCUCCCACUUGGAUAAGUCUAGUAACUAUAUGCACAAGUACAAUUCGGUUUGCAAUCGUAGCUCUCAAAGACGCUGUCAAACUCUGAUCUAAUCAAUCUUGUCCUUUAGAUAAGGGAUCGUACAGUCCUCUGUUAGAUAUCAUGCUGACAAUCCUAUGGAAUAGUUAGUCAAGCAUUUAGGUUUCUCGAUCUCUGAUUUAUUUGACAUAGAACUUAAUCGAACACAUCAAUUCAGUUCUGACCGGGCCCGACACAUAAGUCAAAUCAAAUCAUCGAGCGGCCGAGAUAUCACUUUUACCUUCUUAGAUAAAAGUUACAGAUAAACUUCGACUUAUAUGCAUUUACUUAUUCAUUAACCAACUAUACACAACAAUGCGUUUUAUAACACCGAGUUACUGAUGCGUUUUCGCAUUAUCAAUGUACAAUCAAUUAACAAAUAACAAACCAUAUAUCUAGGUUUUAAGACUAUAUGAUAUUAUCGUCUUGCGAUCACCCUUUUAUAUCAUAUUCCAUAAGGUGAUUCCAGCAAGCGCGGGUUUGUUCCAAUGCUCAAAACUAGUUCAUAAGCACUCAUGAACGUUGCAGCAACCCUUUGCUAUGUCUAACACCAUUUAGACAAUCUACACACCAAUUCAUGACAAUCUUCAUUCAUAUCUACUUCCAACAUAUGAACGAUUGUGGACAAUUUGAACAAUUCGAUUAUUCCUAAUAAACUCAAUUAUUCUGGAAGUCAAAACAUGCAAAGUGAAACAAUAGUUAAACAAUUAACAUAAGAUAGUAACAUUACUCAUAAAUAAAACUCCUUUAUUUAAUCAUCAAAUGUUAAUUACAUUUAUCUAUUACACGUUUCUAAUACUAUCUAAUCUAUGCUAAUAUCAUCCUUCAGCCCAAUACUCCUAGCAUGCUGCAAGUGCUUAACCCUACUCAGUCCCUUCGUAAGCGGAUCUGCUGGGUUAUCUUCUGAUGAUAUCCUCUUCACUACGAGUUGUCCUUCUUCUACACGAUGUCUAAUGAAGUGAUACUUUCUGUCGAUAUGUCUUGAUCUACCAUGAUCCCUCGGUUCCUUGGUCAAGGCAACCGCUCCUUCGUUAUCACAGAAAAUCUCCAUGGGCUCCUUUAUGGCAGGUACAACUCCAAGAUCACCGAUGAAGUUCUUUAGCCAUAUUGCCUCCUUCGACGCUUCGCUCGCUGCAAUGUACUCUGAUUCGCACGUUGAAUCAGCUACGGUUUCCUGCUUGGAACUCUUCCAUGUCACUGCUCCUCCAUUUAGGGUAAAGACCCAGCCCGACUGCGAACGGUAGUUGUCCCUGUCGGUCUGAAAACUGGCGUCACUAUACCCUCGCACCUUCAAGUCAUCACUCCCUCCGAGGACUAAGAACCAUUCCUUCGUCCUCCGAAGGUACUUAAGGAUAUUCUUCACCGCAAUCCAAUGUGCUCUGCCAGGAUUCCCUUGAUAUCUGCUAACCAUGCUCAAAGCGAAGGCUACAUCAGGGCGAGUACAAGUCAUAGCGUACAUGAUUGAGCCAACUGCGGAAGCGUAUGGUACUCGGCUCAUUUCUGCUAUCUCAGCUUCGGUACUCGGACUUUGAGUCUUACUCAAUUUGGCAUUACUUUGUAUCGGUAGUUCUCCCUUCUUUGAGUUUUCCAUACUAAAACGUUUUAGUACCUUCUCUAAGUAAGUAUUCUGACUAAGUCCAAUUAGUCUCUUACUUCUUUCUCUUACUAUCCUUAUUCCCAAAAUGUAAGAAGCCUCUCCGAGGUCCUUCAUAGCGAAGCACUUCCCGAGCCAGGACUUAACCUCCUGCAGAGUCGGGAUGUCGUUUCCUAUGAGUAAUAUGUCAUCGACAUAUAGAACGAGGAAGCUUACUAUACUCCCACUGGCUUUGACAUAUACACAAGAUUCGUCUUCGCUUCGUACAAAUCCAAACUCUUUGACUUUCUCAUCGAAGCAAAGAUUCCAUCUGCGAGACGCUUGCUUAAGUCCAUAAAUGGACUUCUCAAGCUUACACACUCUAUUCGGAUGCUUCGGAUCCACAAACCCCUCUGGCUGAGCCAUGUAAACAUCCUCAGCCAACUUUCCGUUAAGGAAAGCGGUCUUGACAUCCAUUUGCCAAAUCUCAUAAUCAUGAAAUGCGGCAAUUGCUAGCAUCACUCUAAUAGAUUUAAUCUUCGCAACUGGUGAGAAGGUCUCAUCAUAGUCAACUCCGGGAGUUUGAGUAAAGCCCUUCGCAACCAAUCGCGCUUUAUAUGUGUGUACGUUUCCAUCCACGUCGGUCUUCUUCUUGAAGAUCCAUUUGCACCCAACGGUCUUACGUCCGGGCACAUAAUCAACCAAAUUCCAAACUUGGUUAUCAUACAUGGAUUGGAUCUCGCUAUCCAUUGCCUCUUUCCAUUUUGCAGACUCCGGGCCUGCCAUGGCUUCCUUAUAGCUAUUAGGUUCAUCAAGAUUUAUUAGUGUACCAUCACUAAUAUACGUGUCCCCUUCGGUAGUAAUAUGAAAACCAUAAAACUGGGGUUGAACUCUAACUCUAUCGGAACGUCUAAGAGGUAAGGAUUCGUCAAUCGGUUCAACCGGAGUUUCCUCCUCGGGUUGAGUGCCAGCGGUAGAGGUUCCUUCAUCUAUCGACUCUUGAAUCUCUUCAAGCUCGAUUUGCCUCCCACUGUCUCCUUGGCUUAUGAGUUCUCGCUCUCGGAAAACUCCUCUCCUCGCAACGAAGACAACAUUGUCCUUCGGUCUAUAGAAGAGAUAUCCAAAGGAUGUCUGCGGGUAGCCGAUGAAAAUACAUCGCUCACUUCGAGGUUCAAGCUUGUCGUGAGUAUCUCGUCUUACGAAAGCCUCGCAACCCCAAACCUUGAUAUGUGCCAACGAGGGAGCUUUCCCUGUCCACAUCUCGUGAGGUGUUUUGGCAACCUUCUUAGUAGGGACUCGGUUAAGGAUAUGGGCGGCAGUCUCUAAGGCAUACCCCCAAAAAGAGAUAGGUAGUGAAGCACGACUCAUCAUAGAGCGAACCAUAUCCAAUAAGGUUCGAUUACGCCUUUCUGCCACACCAUUCAACUGCGGUGUCCUAGGAGGCGUCAAUUGCGAAACUAUUCCACACUCCUUGAGAUAAUCGUGGAAUUCAAGACUUAGGUACUCUCCUCCUCGAUCGGAUCGAAGCAUCUUGAUUUUCCUGCCCAAUUGAUUCUCCACUUCAUUCUUGAACUCUUUGAACUUUUCAAAGGUUUCUGACUUUUGCUUGAUUAAGUAGAUAUACCCAUAUCUACUAUAGUCAUCGGUAAAAGUCACAUAGAAGCGGUUCCCAUCCUUCGUGGUUGAUCUAAACGGUCCACAUACAUCGGUAUGUAUUAGGUCCAAUAGACCCUCGCCCCUUUCACAUGUACUCGUGAAGGGUGACUUAGUCAUCUUUCCAAGCAAACAAGACUCGCAUGUGUCAUCUUCCCUAAGGUCGAAUGACUCCAACACUCCAUCCUUUUGGAGUUGGGCUAUGCGUUUCUUGUUGACAUGUCCAAGACGACAAUGCCACAAGGAUGCUUUAUCCAUACUAGUGGAAGAAUCAAUAUUCAAAACAUCAUUUCCUAAGUUAUCAACAAUCAUAACGGUUUCAUAUAUUCCAUUACAUGGUAUAGCUUCAAAGUAAAAGACACCAUUUAGAUAAGCCAAAAUAGAACCAUUCUCAUUAUUAAAAGAAAAUCUAAAUCCUUGUCUAUAUAAACCAUGAAAUGAAAUGAUGUUUCUUGCCAUUUCUGGCGAAUAGCAACAAUUGUUCAAAUCUAAAACUAAACUAUUCCUAAGCACUAAGGAAUACACUCCAAUCUUGGUCACAGGCGACGAUCUUCUGUUCCCCAUGAUUAGAUUGAUCCUUCCUUGCUCCACAUCCCUACUUCUUCUUAGUCCCUGCACAUUAGAACAAAUGUGAUAACCACAACCGGUAUCAAGAACCCAAGAAAUAGCAUGAUUAGAAUCGUUAGAUUUGAUUGUAUAUAUACCUGCGAAAGAUGGCUUGAUCUUUCCUUCUUUGAUUGCUUGCAGGUAAUCCGGGCAGCUUCUCUUCCAAUGUCCUAUCUUGUGGCAGUGGUGGCACUCUGCCUCCUUCGGGUUAGAGCAGGGCUUGGCGGGAUCAACUUUGGUCCCACUAGAAGAGGCACCAUCUCGGGCUUUCACCUUGCGAUAGUUCUUCGAUGAAGCUUUCCUCUUCUUUCCCUUCCCUUGUCCAAUAGCCAAGACAGGAGCAGCGGGCGGAUUGGGAGUAGGUGCAACAGACUUGUCUUUGAAGUUGCUCUCAGCAACCCUCAAGAGACCUUGGAGCUUGCUUAGGGUGACCUCUUCUUUGUUCAUGUGGUAGGUCAUCCUAAAUUGGUUGUACAUCGGAGGCAAAGAGUGAAGCACCAUGUCGAUCGCCAAGUCUUCACCGAAGUCAACAUUUAACUUGCGGAGGCGGUCAACAUACCUUUGCAUCUUUUGCAAGUGCACGGUAAGAGAUUCUCCAUGACCCAUCUUCGCGGAAAUCAUGUUAGUGAAAAUCUCGUACCUCUCUUGUCUCGCGUUUUGGUGGUACCUCUCCAAUAAGUCUUGAUGCAUCUCGUACGGGUACAUGUCCUCGUAGGACUUUUGGAAUUCGGAGUUCAUGGUGGCGAUCAUGAUGCAAUGUACCUUCGUUGCAUCUCGCUCAUGAGUUUCAAAGGCGGUGAUUUCGGCGGGAGUAGCAAUUUCGGGGUUGAUUUUCUCGAGCUUCUCAUCGAGGACAUACUCCUUAUCCUCAUAGCGAGCAAUGGUGCGAAUGUAUCUUAUCCAUUCGCUAAAGUUCGUUCCAUCGAAGGUGACCUUUUGGCAAAGGCUCAUCAACGUGAAAGAACUAGCAGCAGCGUUGUUUGCGUUCGACAUCUACAAUUAGAAAAGGACAAAGAUAGAUUAGAAUAAGAAUCCCUAAUUAUCACCCAAUAAGAAAAUUAGGGCUAGGAUCCAACAAUAACAUUUACAUACUAGAAAAGGGAUGCCGUAAUCUAACAUGCAAAUAAAUUGAAGGUAAGUGAAUGACGAUUCACUAAUUCUCCAUCACAAAACUUAAACUAUUAGUCCUAAGUGUUUUUGAGAAUUCCUAGGUUCGGAUGAGAUUCAUUGAAACUAUUCAAUGGCAUGUUUAAAUCUCGAUAUGCCCCUCUUGUUUGUGACUGGGAUGCCGAGGAUCACAAAGCGGGUGUGAAUUACCAUGCAAAUUCACAUGGUGCCUUCAUUGUAACAAUCACCUAUUCGAUGUGCCGGUAAACCACACACGCUCCAUCGAACUAUGAUAAACAAUGAAUCACCCUUUGCCACCUUCGCUUAGAACCAAUUAGUGUGCCGGUAAACCACACACGCUCCACUAACAUCUUAGCAAGGUGCAAAGUGUAAUUUCAUGGGAUUGCAUCAAUUCACUUUUCCUAAAGUAACUAGGAUUGGGAAAUUUUAAAAAAAUGUGUAGUUACUUUAUAUUUCUUAUUAUACUUUUAAUGAGAGGAUGAGGUUGCCCUAUCCUACCCGUUCGGCUAACGACCCUCCACCAAUCAAGCAAGCGGUGGGUGUGAGUGUACACCCAUUAAGCGCCAUUUUAUAGGCCGCAACCUUAUACCCACCUUAUAGAUCGGCUUCGUGAAUGAGGCCUACUAACGGUAAGACUAGCAUUUAGUUAUACAUAUAUAUAUUAUUCUAGUAAUAUCAUAUUAGUAUAGGGUUGUAUUUUAAAACUUUUAAAAUCUAGGGUUUGAAAUUUAAGUUGUCUAAAUUAAAACUUUUAAUCACAAAAGUAAAUUUCAAAACAUGAGGGUAGGUUUUAAACAUUUAAAACAUGGAGGAUCAAAUAACAAAUAAUUCCAAUUAACAAUUAAUAUCCUAAUUAUCUAUAUUUGAUUUAUUCAAGAUUUCUUUUAAAGAUAAUUACCAAAAUAAUCAAAAUAAUUAAUUAAUUAUCAUAUAAGGAAAUUAAAUAUUUAAUUAGUUGAUAAUUACCUUUAACUAGAUCAAGAUAAUAGUUAUAUUUAUCAGAAAAACGAAUUAAUGUUGAUCUAAUUAGUUUAUGGUAAGUUAAGAUAAGAUAAACACAAAGAAAUCCCGAAUCUGGCCAUUCCUGACGCCUGGACUCGCCGAGUGCACAAAUGGACUCGCCGAGUCAGGCCUACUCGCCGAGUCCACUUUGAGACUCGCCGAGUCCAUGACUCAGAAACCAAAAAUUCGAAUUUUGCAGGUUUGUUUCAGUUAAUCAAGCAACAAUUUACAGAAAACCAAGCUAGGCUCUGAUACCACUGAUGGGUUUUAGCCAUAAGAACUUUCCUAUGUGCGCAUGCAAAACCCUAAUGCUUGGAUCUAGGCUUUCUAAUAAACAUGCUUUGAAUCCAAGACUUCUAAUUACUAAUUAGGUUAAACAAGAACAUUAAAACAGAUCUAGAAUCAUACCUUUGAGUUCCUUGUUGAUCUUGAGGUCUUGGAGCUUCUAGAGUCACAAAUGUCACUCCUCUAAUGGCUUACAAACACCAAAGCAAGGAGGAUGAUUUGGGAGAGAGGAGAGGGGAGGAAUUUCGACCAGAGGUUCCUUACUUUAGGUCAAGUGUCGAAUUCCAUCAGCCAUGGGGUCUAUUUAUACUUGUAGACUCCUUAAGGAUUACAGAUAAGUCCCUAUCAGAUAAUCUUCUCUUAAGGCUAUCCAAAUCCAUUCCUAGAUAACUCUAAUGGACGAUUUUAGCUAUCCUAAUCCUCUUAGAAUUCGUCCAUAGUAUAUCCAAAUGGAUUUACAGUUUAAAGCUUAACUAUCAAACAAUUGACAGUUUAUACCCCUUUAUUUAAUUAAUCUCUUUAAGUCACCAAAUUAAUUCUAAUUAAUUCUAUGACUUAUAUUAAUCAAAUAACAAAUAUAUUAUUCAUUAUAUUAUUCCCAUAAUAUAUUAAUAAUAUUUAUUCUCUCUUAAUAAAUCAUCCUAUCAAGUUGCUAUGGUGAAGGCAACCCAAAAGGACCAUGCACAACCGGAUAUAGUUACAGCCUUAGACACUAUUCCAACAGUCUCCCACUUGGAUAAGUCUAGUAACUAUACAAGUACAAUUCGGUUUGCAAUCGUAGCUCUCAAAGACGCUGUCAACUCUGAUCUAAUCAAUCUUGUCCUUUAGAUAAGGGAACGUACAGUCCUCUGUUAGAUAUCAUGCUGACAAUCCUAUGGAAUGGUUAGUCAAGCAUUUAGGUUUCUCGAUCUCUGAUUUAUUUGACAUAGAACUUAAUCGAACACAUCAAUUCAGUUCUGACCGGGCCCGGCACAUAAGUCAAAUCAAAUCAUCGAGCGGCCGAGAUAUCGCUUUUACCUUCUUAGAUAAAAGUUACAGAUAAACUUCGACUUAUAUGCAUUUACUUAUUCAUUAACCAACUAUACACAACAAUACGUUUUAUAACACCAAGUUACUGAUGCGUUUUCGUAUUAUCAAUGUACAAUCAAUUAACAAAU
rnacentral:lncRNA from 1 species